GGGAUUGUGGCUUAGUGGCAGAGCACUUGUCUUGCAUGUAUGAGGCACUAGGUUCGAUCCUUAGCACCA
rnacentral:tRNA from 1 species